CGCCCGCUCAGAAACUUAAAGGAAUUGACGGGGCCCGCACAAGCGGUGGAGUAUGUGGUUUAAUUCGAUGCAACGCGAAGAACCUUACCUGGUCUUGACAUCCCGGAGACCCUUAGGAAACUAGGGGUGCUUCCAUCUGGAAGAAUCUGGAGACAGGUGCUGCAUGGCUGUCGUCAGCUCGUGUCGUGAGAUGUUGGGUUAAGUCCCGCAACGAGCGCAACCCUUGCCUUUAGUUGCCAGCAGUUCGGCUGGGCACUCUAAAGGGACUGCCGGUGUUAAACCGGAGGAAGGUGGGGAUGACGUCAAGUCCUCAUGGCCUUUAUGACCAGGGCUACACACGUACUACAAUGGCCGAUACAAAGGGCAGCGACACUGCGAGGUGAAGCCAAUCCCGUAAAAUCGGUCUCAGUCCGGAUUGGAGUCUGCAACUCGACUCCAUGAAGUUGGAAUCGCUAGUAAUCGUGGAUCAGCAUGCCACGGUGAAUACGUUCCCGGGCCUU
rnacentral:rRNA from 1 species